GGAAUGUGUAGAUAUCGGGAAGAACACCAAUGGCGAAGGCAGGUCUCUGGGCCGUCACUGACGCUGAGGAGCGAAAGCGUGGGGAGCGAACAGGAUUAGAUACCCUGGUAGUCCACGCCGUAAACGGUGGAUGCUGGAUGUGGGGACCAUUCCACGGUCUCCGUGUCGGAGCCAACGCGUUAAGCAUCCCGCCUGGGGAGUACGGCCGCAAGGCUAAAACUCAAAGAAAUUGACGGGGGCCCGCACAAGCGGCGGAGCAUGCGGAUUAAUUCGAUGCAACGCGAAGAACCUUACCUGGGCUUGACAUGUUCCCGACAGCCCCAGAGAUGGGGCCUCCCUUCGGGGCGGGUUCACAGGUGGUGCAUGGUCGUCGUCAGCUCGUGUCGUGAGAUGUUGGGUUAAGUCCCGCAACGAGCGCAACCCUCGCCCUGUGUUGCCAGCACGUCGUGGUGGGAACUCACGGGGGACCGCCGGGGUCAACUCGGAGGAAGGUGGGGAUGACGUCAGAUCAUCAUGCCCCUUACGUCCAGGGCUUCACGCAUGCUACAAUGGCCGGUACAACGGGAUGCGACCUCGUGAGGGGGAGCGGAUCCCUUAAAACCGGUCUCAGUUCGGAUUGGAGUCUGCAACCCGACUCCAUGAAGGCGGAGUCGCUAGUAAUCGCGGAUCAGCAACGCCGCGGUGAAUGCGUUCCCGGGCCUUGUACACACCGCCCGUCAAGUCAUGAAAGUGGGUAGCACCCGAAGCCGGUGGCCCAACCUUUUUGGGGGGAGCCGUCUAAGGUGAGACUCGUGAUUGGGACUAAGUCGUAACAAGGUAGCCGUACCGGAAGGUGCGGCUG
rnacentral:rRNA from 1 species